rnacentral:rRNA from 1 species
AAUGGGCGAAAGCCUGAUCCAGCCAUGCCGCGUGAGUGAAGAAGGCCUUAGGGUUGUAAAACUCUUUCGACAGGGAAGAUAAUGACGGUACCUGUAUAAGAAGCUCCGGCUAACUCCGUGCCAGCAGCCGCGGUAAUACGGAGGGGGCAAGCGUUGCUCGGAAUUACUGGGCGUAAAGCGAGCGUAGGCGGUUAGUCAAGUUGGUGGUGAAAGCCCGGAGCUCAACUCCGGAACUGCCAUCAAAACUGACUUACUUGAGAUUGGUAGAGGAAAAUGGAAUUCCUAGUGUAGAGGUGAAAUUCGUAGAUAUUGGGGAGAUCAUCGGUGGCGAAGGCGAUUUUCUGGGCCAUAUCUGACGCUGAGGUUCGAAAGCGUGGGUAGCAAACAGGAUU